AAAAAUACAGUUCCUCUUAGCAUGAUGGAAGGCACAAAUGCUGAUUGUGAUAGCCCAAGUUAAAUGCAAUCACACUCAUGCAGGGCUUUUUUAGUGAGGUUUACAUGAUAUACCCACUCCACUCAAGAGUCCAGUACAGUAACACAUCCCAUGAGCUACAAACAAGACAAAAUGGAAUCUAUGCCUUAAUAAAAUUAGCAUGAAUCAAUGCAAUGGCUUUAACUUGUUUCUGGAUUGGCCUUUCUGCUCCUUGUAGAGUCAAUCAUAAAACUUCCUUCCUUCCACUCCC